CUUCAGCUACCUGCUAGCCAUAAUCAAUUCAGAGCUUUGAGUUUGAAACGCCAAAAUCAAAGAGAUAUCAAAACAAGGAAGGCUUUCUUUGUUCUUGGCUUAUGUUGCUUUUGGGUUCUUCAACAGCCGCAACACAGGAGGCUUCUUGACUCACAUCAUUUGAGAGGGCCAUCAUACUGCCAAUUGAGGUGUUGGCUUUGCUUUGUCUCAGUUGCUUCAUGUUUUUCUAGCAAUAAAGUGAGAAGCUUUUAUGAUAUUUGCAAUUUGCUACAGAGGAGUGCUGGCUUAAUAAUUUUCUUGGGCUGUCUGGCUGGGGAUUUUUUCUUUGUUGGCAAAUUUUGAAGCACAGAAUGUGGGUGUGAAUCAUCAGCUUUUCACGUUUUGCUACCUGUUCUUUCUCCAAUCUGCAGAUUUGGAAUUUUGCUCUGCUGAAGGUGGGUUGAGCAUGUAACAAAGCGUCGGAACUGUUGAUGUUUUCUAUUUUUGGUACUCAAGAACACUCGCAAGGUCUUCUCUAAGUACCACAAUGUGCCUAUGGACACUCACAAGGUGUUCACAGCACUUGUACAGUGGGGUUCUUGCAGAAGCCCAUCUGUAAUUCACAACAGAAAGGUCCUUGUGAGAGCUCUCUUUGUGUAAGUAGCAUAAUUAUUGCCAAUUUGGGAGGAUUUGUUCACAUUUUUCCACUGCUGAGGUCUCUAUUGAUAUGAUACAUUUCUUGAUAUCAAACAUGGAGGAAGUUCAGGCUUCUGUACAAUGGCCUCACAUACAUAUUUUUUUACCUGCAAGUCAGUUGUUCAUAAAGGAUACUUAAAUGAAUUUGUUUAUACCUUCUUAGUGGUAUUGUGAUAGAGCUUCGUAUCUCUUUUGCUUGCUUAUAUUCUUUGGAUUUCUGCAGCAAUUCGGUGUUUUCUUUUUUUCUUUUGUGUAUUUCUACAGCAGUUGGGUGCUUUUUUCUUUCUGUGUUCUUUGCAUCCUUUAGUCCCUUUUUAUAGACUUAGAGGAACUGACAGAGUGGAGCCAGUUAUGGCCUCACGUACUGUGUGGGUGGAAGUAACUUCUCAUUACAGUCACCCCCUCAACGUACAUGUUCUGAUACUGCCUUCAGUACGUUAAUAUUUUCUUUGUAAAAAUAUUAAUAUUAAUUCAUUUGGGCCUAAAACAAUUUAGCAACAAGUCC